GUUACACAAUCUUCCACAUGGGAAACCAAGAGACGCAAGAUCAGGAACAAACCUGAACAUUGCUUUCAUCCAUCAAGAUCUCCUUAGCUUUCUCGCAUAAUGCUCUAACCUAAAGAAAAUAAAACAAAAGCUGCAUAAGUAUGAGUGACACUAAUAUUUAAUAUAAAAAAACAUAACAUAAUGGAGACAACAUCUUGACAUAAGCAGCAAACAGGUAGAUAAGAGCUUUCUACAGAUAUUGAUCAGUUUUCCCUCGUAUCAUCAUCUCAAGAAGGUCUUCUAGACAAAUCAGAAAUCAAAUCGGAUAAUCACAUA